ensembl:lncRNA
CCAGAAAUGGCGUCUGAAGCGCGCUAAGAAGUGCUUCUGGCUCUCAGCGCGGCCGCUCCGGAUCCAGGUGUGAACGCUGUGUCUGGUUUGGCAGAUUCCCCCUCAGUCGCCCUGUUUGGAUCAGAACUCAGAGAGGAAAGAUGCAUCAAACGCACCGUGAAAUCCACAGCUCACGAGACUUCAUGGAGAAAUGAGCAGUGAUCUCCCAUUGCUAUCUAGGAAACAAAUUUAAGUGCACAUACAAAUAAAAAUACGUCAUGGUGUGAACGGUAAAACUGGACUCUGAGAUUCUGCUGUUUUCUUAAAGUAGGUCAUCUCUGUUUCACACACAGCAGACUGGUACAAAAAUAAUACUGUGCUGCUAGAACCAGAAACACACACACACACACACACACACACCUGAAAAAGAGAUUCUGAGGCAGCUGCUCACACACACCUGCCCGUCGUCAGCUGAUGGUCACUGUAUUAUAACUGUAGCUGGUCUGUAGCAGCUUUGCUUCCCAUCAAAUAUUUAACAAGUAGAUGUGGGUCGUUUCACUUCUGCUUUUCCUAACACAUGAAUCUGUGUGUGUUUUAGUUUAAGAUCAGAC